AUGGCGAAGUUUGCUCUAGGGCACCACAGCGAGGUCACCGAGGCCGGCUGCGUGCGCGCCGUGCUCGCCGAGGCCGUGCUCACCUUCCUCUUCGUCUUCUCUGGCGUCGGCUCCGUCAUGGCCGCCGGGAGGCUGGCCGGCGGCGCCGACACGAUCAUGGGCCUGACGGCGGUCGCGCUGGCCCACGCUAUGGCGGUGGCCGUCAUGGUGUCGGCAGGGCUUCACGUCUCCGGCGGCCACAUCAACCCAGCCGUCACGCUCUCCCUCGCCGCAGGCGGCCACAUCACCCUCUUCCGCUCCGCGCUCUACGUGCUCGCGCAGCUGCUCGGCUCCUCCCUCGCCUGCCUCCUCCUCGCCUUCCUCACCGGCGGCGCGGUGACCAUGCCAGUGCACGCGCUGGCCGCCGGGGUGGGCGCGCCGCAGGGGGUGCUCUGGGAGGCCGUGCUCACCUUCUCGCUGCUCUUCACGGUGUACGCGACCGUCGUGGACCCGCGCCGGAGCGUCGGCAACCUCGGACCGCUACUGGUGGGCCUCGUCGUCGGCGCCAACGUGCUCGCCGGAGGGCCAUUCUCCGGCGCGUCUAUGAACCCGGCACGUUCAUUCGGGCCCGCGCUCGCCUCAGCGAAUUGGGCCAGUCAGUGGGUCUAUUGGGUUGGGCCGAUGGUCGGUGGCCUGCUCGCGGGGCUAGUAUAUGAGGGAUUGUUCAUGGUCCGGCCCGGCCACCAGCAGCUUCCCACCGAUGGCACCGACUUCUAG
rnacentral:rRNA from 1 species